CCAAAAGUGCGUUCAGCCACCACUCUGGCAAUGUACGGGGCGGUGACGUAGUCUAGUGGUUAAAGCGUUCGCUCGACACGCCGAAGACCCGGGUUCGAUUCC